UGGAAUUCUAAGAAGCGAAACAAGAUAAUAAUAGUUUUGGCACUUAAGAAUUCCACU
rnacentral:pre_miRNA from 1 species